rnacentral:rRNA from 1 species
GACGAACGCUGGCGGCAUGCCUAACACAUGCAAGUCGAGCGAGCCUAACUCUUCGGAGUGAAGCUAGCGGCGGACGGGUGAGUAACACGUGGGCAACCUGCCUCAUAGAGGGGAAUAGCCUUCCGAAAGGAAGAUUAAUACCGCAUAAGAUUGUAGCUUCGCAUGGAGCAGCAAUUAAAGGAGCAAUCCGCUAUGAGAUGGGCCCGCGGCGCAUUAGCUAGUUGGUGAGGUAACGGCUCACCAAGGCGACGAUGCGUAGCCGACCUGAGAGGGUGAUCGGCCACAUUGGGACUGAGACACGGCCCAGACUCCUACGGGAGGCAGCAGUGGGGAAUAUUGCACAAUGGGGGAAACCCUGAUGCAGCAAUGCCGCGUGAGUGAUGACGGCCGUCGGGUUGUAAAGCUCUGUCUUCGGGGACGAUAAUGACGGUACCCGAGGAGGAAGCCACGGCUAACUACGUGCCAGCCGCCGCGGUAA